CAGGUGGUGCAUGGCUGUCGUCCGCUCGUGUCGUGAGAUGUUUGGCUAAGUCCCGCAACGAGCGCAACCCCUAUGUUCAGUUGCCAGCAAGUCAAGUUGGGGACUCUGGACAGACUGCCUGCGCAAGCAGAGAGGAAGGAGGGGACGACGUCAAGUCAUCAUGGCCCUUACGCCCAGGGCGACACACGUGCUACAAUGGCGCAUACAGCGGGUAGCGAACCGGCAACGGUGAGCCAACCUCUAAAAGUGCGUCUCAGUUCGGAUCGGGGUCUGCAACUCGACCCCGUGAAGCUGGAAUCGCUAGUAAUCGCGCAUCAGCCAUGGCGCGGUGAAUACGUUCCCGGACCUUGUACACACCGCCCGUCAAGCCAUGGAAGUCGGGUAGACCUGAAGGCGGUAACCGUAAGGAGCCGUUUAGGGUAGAACCGGUAACUGGGGCUAAGUCGUAACAAGGUAGCCGUACCUGAAGGUGCG
rnacentral:rRNA from 1 species